UGCGCUGGUUUUGUUUAAGGUGUUCUGCAAAAGCUAUUGGCUAAUGCAAUGAACCGAAGAGGGAAACAGGUGUAAAUCCUGUACUGUACCCGCAACUGUAAACCACUCUGACCUGUUCAGGGUUCGGUAAGUCAGAUGUCCUGCCUUAACAAACCUCAGGCG
rnacentral:ncRNA from 2 species